GUUAAUAUUACUAUAAUUUUAUUUAAUUGCUAUGAAGAGUUCAUGUACGGUGUAAAAUUUUAUAUAUAUUUGUGUAUAUUUGUUACGCAAAAGUAACAGUAAAUGUUAAUUGACAAUUGUGUUCAAAGGUUGCACUGAAGUUAGCACUUCUUCUUAAAUUAUGUUAAAUAGUUGUGUUGGGCGACCCAUCGAACACAUAUGGAUGUACUCCGGUAGUGGCGUAUAAGCUUGAGAUUAUCAGGAACGACUUUCAAAGCCACACAUUUCAUUGUUACAUCGAACAGAUCAGUAUAACAUACCCCACAUUGCGAUCAUGUUUAAAGGAAUCAAGAUGUAAAGGAAAUAAAACGAAAAAGUGAAAAACUAUUUUUAGUCAUCUAAACAAACGAAAGUGAACAGACCCGGUAUCAUCAAAAUGCGAUUUACUUCCUUAAAAAAAAACACAAGAAAUAUCAUGAAACAACAAACCGUUUAUCAUGCAUUUCUCAAGCCAGUUGCUUGCAACAUUCGUCAUGCCUGAAAAAGCAGCUUAAAAAGUUGUUAAACAAAAAUUACAGUUGUUUGGCAUCAUCGCCAGCAACUACGAUGACGGCGACGACGAUGGCGAAGACGCUAACGAUGCGGAUGAUGAUGAUAGUAAUGAUUGUGAUGGUGGAUGUUAAUGGUUUAAAGCUACUGGAAUUUGGAAUUUGAUUACAUAACUGGGGAUUAACCUACCAUUGAAGUAAAUUCAUACACACAAUCAUACAACUAUAAUCCCACUAAAAUAACUUGUUCCAAAAAAUAAAACUUUAACAACACAACAUUAAAUAAUUUAUGUCUACUCAUGCGAUUUAUGUAUUUCUACCCGUAGAGUGGAGUGAAUUUCUCGUAGCAUGCUGCAGCGCAUGAUGAUGGUGUUGUUUGCGAUGCUCAACAGCUGAUAAACUUGUAUUUCCUAAUAAUUUUUUUGUAAUUUUAUUUGACUAGUUAAAAAUACAUAACUAAAUAAAAAUAUUGUCUAUGGUCAUGUACACAGAAGUAAAUGAAAAUAAAAGUUAUACAUUUUUAACAAAUGUUUACGAGUAUUAACAAAUCUCAUGCUAUUAUUGUGGUAUAUAUACAUAUUUCUUUUUAAUUAACAAUAUUUAUACAUAAUUACAAAUUUUUAUAAUACAAUUGUAGAAAUAUUUAUACUUCAGUAUUGAGUUGUUCCAAUAAUGACCGUAUCAAAAUUAUAAAUGAAAAUUUGCAUUAAAAAUAAAUUCUAAAUUUCUUUAAUACAAUGGGAAAGCUUUUGGUGACAUAUAGAAAACAUAGAACUCUAGGUAAAGGUAAUCUAAACCCCAAUAAUAAGAAAAACA